rnacentral:lncRNA from 1 species
ACUAGAAAAUUGGAUUUGCUACAGAAUGUUUGCUUUUCAUUCAAAAUGGGGGCUGAUUACAACUUCUCAGAUACAUCAGGGCUACUACUAUUUUAAAGUUCUGUAGCUUUUUUUUUUUUUCACUACUUCUGAGACUACAAUGAGCGACAUAUUUCUAGAAGAUAACUCUGGAACAUCAUUUAAGCUGGUUCAACAAGUUCCAAAGUCUAGGGAAUACAAAGAGUCAUUCAAGCUAGAGAACAUUCAGUCAAAAAUAUCUUCUGCACAAUCUAGAAAAUUACAAAUUACUUC